rnacentral:tRNA from 1 species
GGCAGUGUGGUACAAUGGAAAGAAUGUUGGAAUUUUAAAUCAUAUGGGCUGGGUUCAAAUCUCAGUUCUGUUA